rnacentral:rRNA from 1 species
CGUACCUUUUGCAUCAUGAUUUAGCCAGCACCCUCAAGCAAAGAGCACUUUAGUUUGACCACCCGAAAUUAGGUGAGCUACUCCAAGACAGCCUAUCCAUAAGGGCAAACCCGUCUCUGUGGCAAAAGAGUGGGACGAGCUUCGAGUAGAGGUGACAGACCUACCGAACCUAAUUAUAGCUGGUUGCCUUGGAACUGGAUAGAAGUUCAGCCCUACGGCUUCUCCUUCCCAACCCGUUCCAACACACCCCUGGCACUUUAGAGAAACCGUACGAGUUAGCCAAAGGAGGUACAGCCCCUUUGAACCAAGAAACAACUUUACCAGGAGGGUAUCAAUCAUAUUAUUUAAGGCAAAAUGCCAAGGUGGGCCUAAAAGCAGCCAUCCUUAUAGAAAGCGUUACAGCUCAAGCAUUUCCCACGCCCAUUAUACCGAUAACCCAAUUCCAACCCCGUAACCUUACCAGGCCAUCCUAUGCACACAUAGGAGUGACCAUGCUAAUAUGAGUAAUAAGAGGACACGCCCCUCUCCCUGCACACGUGUA